rnacentral:lncRNA from 1 species
AGCUUUGUUAGAGGAAGUGAUUCACCGGAGAAGGCUUACAAUCCUAUGGGGGAUUCUGUGACUACCAGGACCAGCAGAUUGAUGAUCUACAUAAGGGACAAGGUUUAUUUAGUCUCCUGUCUAUGGAUUUCAAGAUUAAGCCUGAAAUAAGUAAGUAAAAAAAAAAACCUUGCUUAAAAUCAGGUAUACAUAAAUUAAAUAAUUUAUAAUAAUAAUUAUGUUAUUUGUUAUAAUAAUUCAUCAUAUAUUGUAAUAAUUAUAUUUGGUUAUAUAGUAUACUAAUAUAAUAAUAAACUAAAAAUAAAAUUAUAAUUAUAUUAUAUUAAAUUAUAAAUAUAUUUAAAAUAAUAAAUUAAAUAAUAGUCCUCAAACUUCUCAGAGAUCUGCUGAAUAUGGCAUUUUCAAUGUUUAAUAAAAAAGCUUCCUGUGAUAGACAAAAAUGCCAGCUCCUGGAUGCAACUCUAAGAUCUUCUCCAAAGAAGAUGAUAUAAUACACCACAUGGACAGUGGUAACAGUAACUUCUGGGUAAAGGACAAACUGCUCCAUGCCUCACCCACACCCAGGGAGGGCACAACCCAAACUGGACAUUUUUAGGUUAACCACCCCACUCUGCCUCACCAAGUUAGGCCAGUUUUCCCAAGUUCCACAGGAAAAUCUCUCAGCCAAAGACUAAUGCUGCCCUGUGUGGCAGCUGAUAAUUUAAUGUUGUUCUGUUUCACAGUCAGACAGAGCACCUCUGCCAGCGCUCCCCCAAAAAUAUCAGGGCCACUGUGUGAGUUAGGUUUUAUUGCCGUGAAGAGACACAAUAACCAAGGCAACCCUUAUAAAGGAGAUUUAAUUGGGGCUGGCUUAAAAGUUCAGAAAUUCGAUUCAUUAUCAUCAUGAUGGGAAGCAUGGCAGUGUCCAGGCAGGCAAGGUGCUGGAGAAGCUGAGAGUUCUACAUCUUAAUCUGACUGCAGCCAGGAGAAACUGACUCUUCCACACUGGGCAGCUUCAAAGACCACCCCCACCAUGAUGCACUUCCUCCAUCAAGGUCACAUCUCCUAUUAAUGCACUUCCCACAGGCCAACUAUAUUCAAACCACCAUAGUCACCCUGGAGGAGCCAAGGGUAACCACCCAGGCCCACAGGCCAACUGUAUUCAAACCACCACAGUCACCCAAGAGGAGCCAAGGGUAACCACCCAGGCCCACAGGCCAACUGUAUUCAAAUCACCAUAGUCACCCUGGAGGAGCCAAGGGUAACCACCCAGGCCCACAGGCCAACUAUAUUCAAAUCACCAUAGUCACCCUGGAGGAGCCAAGGGUAACCACCCAGGCCCACAGGCCAACUGUAUUCAAAUCACCAUAGUCACCCUGGAGGAGCCAAGGGUAACCACCCAGGUAGUGGGUAAGUGCCUGUCAUUUAACUAAUACAGAGCCCAUUUGGGUUAUGUUUCCGUUCAAAUGUAUCCUUCUCAGAUAUCCCCAAAUGCUACAGCAGCCUGGUUAGUCCAUUAUGUAAAAAUCAGACCUUGCUUUUUUCCCAGAGCUACUAGUUCUCCUUCUAAAAAAGGUAAACCCAGACAAUUUACUUUGCUAACAGGCUUCACAUUAAAAGAAAUAAACUCACAAAACAGGUUUCAAUGUAACUAAACAUUUUUACUAUUCCUUGCUGUGCUGGCUGGUUUUGUGUCAACUUGAUACAAGCUAGAGUCAUCAGAUAGGAAGGAACCUCAGUUGAAGAAAUGCCUUUAUAAGAUCCAACUGCAAGGCAUUUUCUCAAUUAUUGAUCAAAAGGAAAAGGCCCAGCCCAUUGUGGGUGGUGCCAUCCCUGGGCUGGUAGUCCGGGCUUCUACAAGAAAGCAAAGUUGAGCAAGCCAUGAUGAACAAACCCAGUAAGCAACACCUUUCCAUGGCUUCUACAUCAGCUCCAGCCCUCAGGUUCCUGCCCUCUUUGAGUUCCUGUCCUGACUCCCUUCAAUAAUGAGCAGCAGUGUGGAAGUGUAAGCCAAAUAAACUCUUUCCUUCCCAACUUUCUUUUAGGUCAUGUUAUUUCAUUGCACCAAUAGAAAACCUAAGACACUUGCUUUUCAAUGACCACUCUCAAUAAACAACCACUUGUGUCUUAUGGUAAAUUAUUAAAUAAAAAGAUGUGUAAAUUAUGAAUUUCUAAGGAAAUAAUUUAAGAUAUGUACAAAUAAGAUACAUGAUAUCAAGGCUUCAACAGUUCAUAGUUUUAACAUAUUAACCAGUAGAGUUCUGAUAAGCUAUUAAUCUAGCUUUUGUAAAGAACUAUCUACUAUUAGAGUCACAGGUCAAAUUUUAAAUUUUCUUUUGGUUGUUUUCUAAGUAUAGACUUAAAAGUGCUUCUCAUCCUACUGAAAACAUCUCUGUUCAAUAUCUCUGGCCCUCUGGAUAGAGAGAAGAAUAUUCAUGCCUUUAAUCCAGAAUCAUGUUUUGGAUUCCCAAGCUUUUGCUAUGUCUCAAAGGCACGAGUCUACUCCAGCUGUUUACAGAUACCUGUUAACUGCUUUUUCUAUAAUGAGGAUUCCAGUACAGAUUACAAACAGUAGAAAUGCUAAUAGCUCUAAAACGCUUAUUUCAUUUUUUUGUAAACUUAAAAAAACUUCAUGUAAGCCUCAUAGAGUUGUGACUUGGAUCCACCUGUUACAGGUCAAGUAGAUUUUAGAUUGACCUGUAACUCCUCUCUCAUUGACUCCUCUCGUGUCAAUGGUCUAAGUUUCUUCACAUUACUUCCUGUUCCUGAGGGUGGGUUGUCUCCUACCCCUAGUCUUGGGAUUUUUUUCCACCACCCCAACAACCAGGACCACAGGACUGGAAGUUUCAAAUUUAAAAUUCUCCCCUAAGUUACUCAAACUAUCCUGAGCCUGGAGUUGUCUUUCAGAAACAGAGAGCACCGAACUCGCUGAAAGCUGAUGUAAACCAGAGGGCUCUGAUGGAUCUUCCUACCAGGCUGAGUCCCCACUUUGGACCAGCAUUUCAUACUACUUCAAAUUCCCUGUACUUUAAUAGCCCAAGUGGCUCAGCAUAACCCGGGCAGCAAAGCAAAUAUACCCUGCCUUUUUCUGGCUUGUGAAUGGCAUUCCAGUCUUCUUGAGUCCUGACAACGAUGUCCUAAUUUCAGCUGAGAAGCAGUUAUCAAAAAUGCUGUAUGUUAGGUCUAAAGGAAACUAGUUCUGCUCUACAAAAUUGAGUCGCUUUUUUACUCUCUCUGGAAAAAGGGAAAAUGGUUACCUAUGGUGGCUAUUGGCAUACCAGGACCCAUGUUGGCCUCCAGACUCCCUCAGGAUCAUAAGUACUUCUUAUAAAAUUUUGCAAAAGUGCUACUCACAAUGGGGGCUGGAAUAUGAAUGGCUUACUUCAUGGGUACCAAAGUUUCCUGGGUGAAUCAGAUGUUUAUUUUCUCCUUGCUGCUUUAUACAACCUAAUGCUCACUUGGGGAAGUCAGUGUCAAACACUACAAAUAUCAGGAGACUUAGAAUUAUAUUCCCGAGAUUCAACUCAUUCACCUAGAGCUGUGGUUCUCAACCCCUUUGUGGGUCAAAUGUCCCUUUCACAGGGGUCACCUAAGGCCACCAGAAAACACAGAUACUUACGUAACAAUCCAUGAGCAAAAUUACAGUUAUAAAGUAGCAAUGAAAAUAAUUUUAUGGUUGGGGGCGGUCACCACAACAUGGGGAACUAUAUUAAAGGGUCGCAGCAUUAGGAAGGCUGAGAACCACUGUUCUAGAGCUAAUGCAGAAUGUAAUGGGCUAGUGAAUUAUAAUUAUGCCAUCUCAUAAAAAAAGUCAACUGUUCAAAUAUUCGCUGUAUAGGUUCAGAAUCAACAUGUACCUCAACAUGAAUCACUGAUUUGACUCAUAUGAUCUGAAGCCAAUGUGGAAUUCAAUGGCUAAGGAAACUCCAUUCUGUACCAGGUACCCUUUGUAGCCACUGGCCUCUGCCCUAAAUUACUGAAAGAUGAGCUUCUAACAACCUUCCCAUAAUGGUAUAACUGCUGUGCGAUAAUUAACCACUUGCUCGGGCUUCUGUAAAAACCUGCUUAAUUAACACAGUAUACAGGGGAGAGAGCUUCUUAUGCAGCCGAGGGGAGUGAAAUAGUCUCUCACGCAGCUACAGAUGCCACAGAAACAAGCUAACUGUGGUCUCCACCUUUAAAAAUGCUUCCCUUCUGUUCCACAUGCCUUCAAUUUGGUUUUAAGCCUGUCACCCUGCUAGUCAUUUUUAAUAAAUUCAGCUAAUUACAAUU